CUUUCGGUGACGUCACCCAACUCGCCCCGUGCGCGUGCUCGCUCGCUCAUUAAAGGCGGGAAAUCGCGCAGGAGGUCCUCUCGUGGUGAUCAAUCGAUAAAUAAAAAUAAAACUUUAAUGAACGAUAAUUUGACUAAAGCGUUCGAUAUGCGAUGGAGCGUUGACGUCGGCCCCGUCGUUGCCAGAGCCGGACCAAGCGAAAGUUGCCUCACGAUUUCCUAAUCGAUCGUAUUUCAACUGCGUGUACGAGUAAUUAUUACGUAAAACGUUAAACUUUAAUUUGUUGACUGCCGUCGAGGACAUUGUGAACUGUUCCACCCUCCAGUGGACGUCAAAGCCAAGCCCGACGGACUGCUGCUGCUGCUGUUGCUGCUGCUGUGAAGCUGCUUAUUCAGAAGCUCGCUGGCCACCACAGACGAGAUAGCAGUUCGACCGGACGGCUUCUUCACGUGGUCCUCCCCAUGUCUCUCCUCCGCGGCUCACUGGGCCGUGCCCUCCGCCGCGUGGGGCUCACGGCCUCCCGCCCCCCCCGCCGCUCGGCCCCCACCUCCCGGGCCCCCCCCACCACACCACCGGGGACCUUCCCCCCACCACCACAGCCGGGGACCUUCCCCCCACCACCACCACCACUGCCGGGCUGUGCCGCUGCCGGACUUUGUGGACACCGUUGUUGCCUACCGCAGCAAGAGCAGCGGGCAGCUGCCUGAGGGCGCUGGUCGUCUACAGCCUCUGCUGUGUCGACCUGCUGGUGGACCACAACAAGGAGAUCCUGCGCUGGGCCGAGCGCUUGCUGGGGGCCCGCCUCUUCGCUGGCCUCAUGAAGGCCACGGUGUUACGGCCAGUUCGUGGGUGGCGAGGACCGGCUCGCCAUCCGGCCCACGGUGAGUGCCCACGCCCGGCACGGGGUCGGCUCCAUCCUGGACUACAGCGUGGAGGAGGAUGUCAGCCACGACGAGGCGCAGAGCCAGGA